UGGAGGAUAUAUACAGGGGGUACCGGUACAGAGUCAAUGUGGAGACUAUAUACAGGGGGUACCGGUACAGAGUCAAUGUGGAGGUUAUAUACAGGGGGUACCGGUACAGAGUCAAUGUGGAGGUUAUAUACAGGGGGUACCGGUACAGAGUCAAUGUGGAGGAUAUAUACAGGGGGUACCGGUACAGAGUCAAUGUGGAGGAUAUAUACAGGGGGUACCGGUACAGAGUCAAUGUGGAGGAUAUAUACAGGGGGUACCGGUACAGAGUCAAUGUGGAGACUAUAUACAGGGGGUACUGGUACAGAGUCAAUGUGGAGGCUAUAUACAGGGGGUACCGGUACAGAGUCAAUGUGGAGGAUAUAUACAGGAGGUACUGGUACAGAGUCAAUGUGGAGGAUAUAUACAGGGGGUACCGGUACAGAGUCAAUGUGGAGGAUAUAUACAGGGGGUACCGGUACAGAGUCAAUGUGGAGGAUAUAUACAGGGGGUACUGGUACAGAGUCAAUGUGGAGGAUAUAUACAGGGGGUACCGGUACAGAGUCAAUGUGGAGG
ensembl:lncRNA